GACGAACGCUGGCGGCGUGCUUAACACAUGCAAGUCGAGCGGUAAUGCCCUUUCGGGGGUACACGAGCGGCGAACGGGUGAGUAACACGUGGGUGACCUGCCCUCAGCUCUGGGAUAAGCCUGGGAAACCGGGUCUAAUACCGGAUAUGACUCCAUGACGCAUGUUGUGGGGUGGAAAGCCUUGUGCGGCUGAGGAUGGGCCCGCGGCCUAUCAGCUUGUUGGUGGGGUGAUGGCCUACCAAGGCGGCGACGGGUAGCCGGCCUGAGAGGGCGACCGGCCACACUGGGACUGAGACACGGCCCAGACUCCUACGGGAGGCAGCAGUGGGGAAUCUUGCGCAAUGGGCGAAAGCCUGACGCAGCAACGCCGCGUGGGGAUGAAUGCCUUCGGGUUGUAA
rnacentral:rRNA from 1 species